rnacentral:lncRNA from 1 species
UCAAUUCAAGAAGUCUUCCUCCAUAACAAAGCUUCUCUUUUCUAGCUUCCUCUUUUAAGUUGAAUUUUCCGAUCUUAGUUAACGAUCUUGGGCUAGCAGAAGGUCUCCCCAGUUACACCUUUCUUCUGUUAUUCUCCACAUGGUAUCACAACCAACACUACAAUAAAAUGUAUCUAUAGUUACGAAAUCUAAGAUAUGAAUUUAAAUUUCGUAGCUAUUAUCUAGUAAUAGCCACAAAAAUUUCAAUCUGUAGCUAUUUACUAAUUUGUAAAAUUUCUCAGCCACGCAAAUUAAAUUGGCAAAACUAAUUUCUCAUAGUUGCUACCAGUAUUAUUAAUCGUGGUAAUAAUUGCCUAAUUAGCUACAAAUCUAUUGCUACAGUAAAAAAAUUGGUAGCUAAUCAUAAGUUUUUGUCACGCCAUAAAAGUUAUCAUAGCAGUAGUAACUCUUUUAGCCAUAAGAAACUAUAUGAAAUAAAAUAUGUAGCUAAUAUAUUUUUUUUUGCUUUAGGAUAUAAAACUUGUAGCAAUAAUCACAUGAUAUAGCCACGUCUUUUUUUUCUAUGAUAAAAUUUCGUAGCUAAUUAUUAAUAUUUGCCACAAGUUGAAACGUAUUAUAGUAAUAGAAUCUUUUAGCCACAAAAAAUAUUUAAAAUAAAAUAUUAUGGAUGAAUAAAUAUUUUUACUUCAAUUUUUUAUAAAAUUAUUGCAAUAGUUAAAUGAUAUAGCCAUAAAUAUUUUGCUAUAAUAAAAUUUCGUAGCUAAUUAUUUAUUUUUGCCAUAUAUCAAAAUUUGUUGUAGCAAUAAUGACUUUUUAGCAAUGAAAAGGAUUAUUUAAAAUCAAAUAAUAUAACUAAACAAAUAUUUUUGCUUUGAUUACUAAUAAAAUCAUGCAUGGCAAUAGGUGACUUAAUAAUAGCUAUAUUAUUUGUCAUGACAAAUGAUUUAGCCUUAAAUUUAAUAUUAUGGAAAAAUUUGAUGGCUCAUAUUUAUUUUUUACUACGAGUUGAGAUUUAUUCUAUACUGAUAGAAUUCUAGUGUAACUAGAGGUGUUAAACAUUCAUUUUGAUUCAAUACUAUAUGUCUAUUUGUUGAAUUUCGAAUAUAAUUUCAAAAAAUAAGUGAUCAUAUCUGAUUAACUAAUUAUAUCGAGUUUAAAUAUAAUUUUACCAAAUUUUUCUAAAGUUUCAUCUUGAUCAUGUGCUUCUGAAAUUGUUAUUUGACUCAAACUUGUUUUAUCACAAUAAUAUGUUUAUCAAUUUAAUGUGAUUUGAGGCAUUAAUUGUUAAUUUAAUUUAAUUUUAUAGCUUAUAAGUUUUAAAUAAAUAUUUGAUUAUAUUUAUUUUAACUCACAAUUAAUUUUUAUAAUAAUUUUCUUAUAUCACUUUUAAUUAGUUAUUAUAAGUCAUUUGAGACAUGUUUGCUUCGCUGCUUCAAUCAUGAUUUUACUAUAUCACCCCCAAUUAAUUAUUUUGGUCAUCUAAACAUUGUGUCAUUUAAAUAGAAAUAGAAGAAAAAGUAUUAUAAAUCAUAAUAAUUUAAAAGUUAAAUUAUUUAAGAAAAUAUAAUUGACAAUUAAUGACACAAAAUUUUGAACAAGGAGAGUAACAGAUAUUACUUGGUAAUUACAUAAAAAAUAUUAUAAAUUAACAUAGUUAACAAUUUAAAAUAUCUCAAAAAAUUACUCUGUUAUAUAUUUCAAAAAAUUACUAUAAAUCACAAUAAUUAACAACUUUAAAAAUUUAAAGGUCAAUCUAUCUGCUUUGGCACAACUUCAUUGGUCCUUUUCCUUGCUUUUGUUUGUUUCAUCAAUUUAAAUUAUUUGUCUUAUUUUGUUUAUCUAGUAUAUAUUUCAAAAAAAUUUCUAUAAAUCAUAAUAAUUAAUAACUUACAAUAUUUAAAAAAUAUAGAAGAAAGAGUAUCAUAAAUCACAGUAAUUAAAAACUUAAAUUAUUUUUAAAAUAUAAUUGACUAUCAAUGCUACAAAAGUUUGAACAAAGAGAGUAACAUAUAUCAUUUGAAAAGUACAUAAGAAGUAUCAUAAAUUAUAAUAUUUAACAACUUAAUCUGUUAUAUAUUACAAAAAUAUUAUAGAUCACAAUAAUUAACAACUUAAAAUUUUAAAAAAUCUAAAAUACUUGGUUGACUCUCGAAAUUAUAUCACUGCCACUUAAAUUGAAAUAACUAAAUGUAUAAUUGACUAUCAAUGUCACAAAAGUUGGACAAAGAGAGUAACAUGUAUUUUGAAAAUUACAUAAAAAGUACUAUAAUUACAAUGUUUAAUAGCUUAAAAUAUAUUUUUAAAAAAUUAAUCUGUUAUAUAUUUUAAAAAAAUAAAAAUAAGUACUAUAAAUUACAAUAAUUAACAACUUAAAUAAUUUUAAAUAUAUAAAAUAUUUGAUUAACUCUCAAAAUUAUAUUAGUGCCACUUAAAUAGGAAUAGAGAAGAGGUAUAAUAAAUCUCAAUAAUAAAAAUUUUAAAUUAUUUUAAAAAUAUAAUUGACUAUCAAUGUCACAAAAAUUUGAACAAAGAGAGUAACAUGUAUUAUUUGAAAAUUAAAUAAAAAUCUUAUAAAUUAUGACAGUUACCAACUUAAAAUAACUAAAGCAUAUUAAAAUAUAAUUGAUUAUCUAAAUUUUAUUUGCAUCACAUAAACUGAAACUAAAAAAUAACAUAUAUUGGGUCCGUUCUGGCACGGGCCUUCGAAAUCUAGUGCAUAAUAUCCAUAAGUUUGCUUGAAAACAUGUGAAAUUGGAAAGAGUAUCAUAAAUAUUAUUAACUAUUUUAAUCACCAUGGCUAAAUUUUCUUUUCUCCUUCUUAUUUUGUUUGUUUUUCUAUUUUUAGGUCAGUAUUAUAUUAUAUGCGCCUUUUACACUUCUAUCGUUUUUCAUUAUCCGACUUUUCUAUCUUUAAUUUGUCGCAUAUUUUCUUUUAGUUUAUUUCUACGUAUAUCAAAGUGUCUGUAACCUAUCAAAGUAUAAAGAAAAUAUAAAUUUCAAGAGCGUCAUAUAUUAAUAUUUCUCUAUUCCUAACAUUUAAAAUACCACGUAGUCUAUUUCGAAAAACAAUUCACAUUUCUGUGAAAAAUAUCUAAAUUGGAUUUUGUGGAAGAAUGAAUAUCUAAGUUUUUUAGAUAAAUUUCUAGAAUAGUCGAGUGAAUUAAUAUCUUAUUUUCUAGUAAAGUUUCUAGAAUAUCUAGUGUAAUUUCUAGGAUAAUCAUGUUGAGAAAAUAUCUAGAUAUUCUAGGUAAUUUUAGGUAGAAGAGUCUAGAAAAGAAUAGUGUAGUCACUUGGAUAAGCAAUUUGUGGAAAUAUCUAGAAUAGAAGAUAAAGUGACUAGAAUUUUCUUGUGAAUGUAUCUAGAAGAAUAUCUAGAAUCAUCCAUAGACUAGUAUAAAUAGAGAAGGGUCUUAUACAUUUGUAACCAACCAAAAACAUAACAAAAAAAACUACUCAAUUCAAGAAGUCUUCCUCCAUAACAAAGCUUCUCUUUUCUAGCUUCCUCUUUUAAGUUGAAUUUUCCGAUCUUAGUUAACGAUCUUGGGCUAGCAGAAGGUCUCCCCAGUUACACCUUUCUUCUGUUAUUCUCCACAUGGUAUCACAACCAACACUACAAUAAAAUGUAUCUAUAGUUACGAAAUCUAAGAUAUGAAUUUAAAUUUCGUAGCUAUUAUCUAGUAAUAGCCACAAAAAUUUCAAUCUGUAGCUAUUUACUAAUUUGUAAAAUUUCUCAGCCACGCAAAUUAAAUUGGCAAAACUAAUUUCUCAUAGUUGCUACCAGUAUUAUUAAUCGUGGUAAUAAUUGCCUAAUUAGCUACAAAUCUAUUGCUACAGUAAAAAAAUUGGUAGCUAAUCAUAAGUUUUUGUCACGCCAUAAAAGUUAUCAUAGCAGUAGUAACUCUUUUAGCCAUAAGAAACUAUAUGAAAUAAAAUAUGUAGCUAAUAUAUUUUUUUUUGCUUUAGGAUAUAAAACUUGUAGCAAUAAUCACAUGAUAUAGCCACGUCUUUUUUUUCUAUGAUAAAAUUUCGUAGCUAAUUAUUAAUAUUUGCCACAAGUUGAAACGUAUUAUAGUAAUAGAAUCUUUUAGCCACAAAAAAUAUUUAAAAUAAAAUAUUAUGGAUGAAUAAAUAUUUUUACUUCAUUGUUUAUAAAAUUAUUGCAAUAGUUAAAUGAUAUAACCAUAAAUAUUUUGCUACAGUAAAAUUUCGUAGCUAAUUAUUUAUUUUUGCCAUGUAUCAAAACUUGUUGUAGCAAUAAUGACAUUUUAGCAAUGAAAAAGAUUAUUUAAAAUCAAAUAAUAUAACUAAACAAAUAUUUUUGCUUUGAUUACUAAUAAAAUCAUGCAUGGCGAUUGGUGACUUAAUAAUAGCUAUAUUAUUUGUCAUGACAAAUGAUUUAGCUGUAAAUUUAAUAUUAUGACAAAAUUUGAUGGCUAAUAAUUAUUUUUUACUACAAGUUGAGAUUUAUUGUAUACUGAUACAAUUCUAGUGUAACUAGAGGUGUUAAACAUUCCUUUUGAUUCAAUACUAUAUAUCUAUUUGUUGAAUUUCGAAUAUAAUUUUAAAAAAUAAGUGAUCAUAUCUAAUUAAAUUUGAUUAACUAAUUAUAUCGAUCUUAAAUAUAAUUUUACCAAAAUUUUCUAAAAUUUUAUCUUGAUCAUGUGCUUCUGAAAUUGUUAUUUGACUCAAACUUGUUUUAUCACAAUAAUAUGUUUAUCAAUUUAAUGUGAUUUGAGGCAUUAAUUGUUAAUUUAAUUCAAUUUUAUAGCUUAUAAGUUUUAAGUAAAUAUUUGAUUAUAUUUAUUUUAACUAACAUUAAAUUAGGAGAACUUCAAUAAGUCUCGUUCAAACUUCAUCCUCGCCAAGUAUUUUCAAAAUUGUUAUUUGGUUCAUACACGUAUAUACACACACACACAAUAAUUGUGUAUAAACAAAAGAAAUAAUUAAUUUCAAAUAACAAAAUUAAAAUACAAAAUAAAAGUGUAAUCUUCAAUAAUAAAUAUUUUAUAAACCUACUUAUAACCUUAAAAUUAUCAUCUGCCUUUCUACAUUGUCAUCUCAAUAGUUUAUUUUUAUUGCAAUGUGGUUUUUUUUGGAUGCUUAUUGUAUUUUUAUUAAUUGCAAGUCAAAUUUUUUUACUGAAAGUUAUAAAGAUGUUUAUAUAUGCUUGGUGCUUUAUUAUUUUAAAUUAAGUGCAUAUUUUUUUAAUAUGGGAUCAUUUACUCUUUUAAAAGUAUUCAUAAAAACUUUAAUAAAUCUAGAGAUAUUAUAUAUGAUAUUAGCAUGUACAUUCUACAAUGUACGUACAUUAUUAAAUUAUUAAGGAAUUAUAAUACUUGUAAAUGUAUGUGACUAUUUAAAUAUAUUAAAUUAUAAGUAUUUAUUUUAUGUUUUAUUAAAAAAAUUAUAUUAUAGUAUCUUUUGCGUUAUCUAUUCUCCUUCUUAUAUUUUCUAAUAUCUAAUAUUUGCAUGAGUUUUUUGAUGCAAUAUGAAUUAAUAUAGCAUAUAAAUAGACAAGUCAACCCUUUAGCAAAUAUAAUUAAGAUAUUAUAUUAAGAUACACACAGUAUUUAAGAAAGUGAUGUACAUUGACAUUUUAAUUGAUUUUUUUUUAUUUUUUGAUUUAUAAUUUUAUUUUAUUAUUAAAAUUUAUAUUUUGAAAUUGAUAUUUAAUUCAUAUAAUUCAUGUAAUUUUUAUAUUUUUAAAUUAAACUAUAUAUUGCAAUGCAAAAUUCAUAUUUUUGUUUAAAUUCAAAUAAAAUAAUUGAAUGUUGUGAAAGUAUAUUCCACUGUAAUAACAUACUUUAAUUUGAGCUUAAAAUAAUGUUAUUAGUAUAAAAAUAAAUUAAAGUUACAUUUUAAAAAAAAAAUUAUCGCAAAAUAAUUUUCAACGUGAAAUUUUUGUUGGAUGACACUUGCCACCUCAAUAUUUUUUUUUCACCUAUUAAUAUAGGUUGAUUUUCUAAUCUUAAUUUUAUUUUAUUUUUGAAUUUACUAUUUUAAACUUGAAAUUUGAUCCAUAUAAUUCAUUUUAAAUUCAUAUACUUUUUAUUUUUUCAAUUCGAACUAAAAAGUAUAAUUCAUAAUUCAUAUCCUAAUUUUAAAUCAAAUUGAAAUAAUCAAAUAUUGUAGAAGCAUGAUUCCACCACAACAGAGAACUUAAAUUGAAUUUGAAUUCACGUUUUUAAUGUAUAAAAAGUUGAAUUGACAUUUUUUUUUUUUGAAAUUUCUAUCUUACAAUAAUUUUUAAAAUUAAUUUUAUGGUAAUUGAUACUUGUUAUCGAAAUAUUAUUUAGUUUCUCCUAUUUAUAUAGAAAUGUUGUGCACAUUUUAUGAUUUUCACAAUUUAUUUUGUUUUAAGAUUUCCUAUGUUAAACUUGACAUCGUAAUCCAUAUAAAUCAUUCUAAAUUUAUAUAAAACAACACACUCGAUGUAGUCCCAUAAAGUGAAUUUAACUAGAGUAGAAUAUAUACACACCUUACUCCUACCUCAUAAAUUAAAAAAAGUAUUUUAAAUUCAUAUAUAGCAUUUGUCAAAAAUAAAGAAAAAUAUAUACAUAUAAUAAUAGGUAAACACAAAAGGCAAUUGGCCAAAAGAGAAAAUAUUAUCCUUGACUUUCUUUUGUUUUAAAUUUUAAUACAAUUGGAUUUCUUUUGUUUUAAUAAAACGAAAAUUUUCGUCCCAUAUUAAAAAGUUUCCUCCAGCCACACACCUCCACCCUUCUCAUUUCUAAACCUAAAAUCUCCCCCCAAAAUUAAAAAAUCUCAAAAGAAUAAAAUUCCCCCGCAUAAUUUUAAAAUCUAAUUAAAUAACCUAAUCCUACUUCACACUUAACAAACACUCAUAUCCCUUUACCCUCUCCCCAAUUCAUUAUUGUCCCCUCCCCCUCGCCCCUCCCUUCCCCCCUCCCCAUUCGUUUCACCCGUAUUUCAAUUUGUAAUUUGGGUUGAAAUUGUUUAUUUGAUAUUUUGCUAAAUUACUUUUUCUUUUGUAGGCGUUACAAUGUAGAAUUUUCCAAGUAAAGGUAAUUUUCUAUUCGUGUAGGUUUUAAAGUAUUAAUAUUGAAAUUGACAUCUUUCACUUAUGAGAUUACAUUAAGUAUAUUAUUAUUGUUUUAUUGAAAUUUGACAUCGAUAACUAUAGGUUUGAAAAAAUUUAUAAAGUGUGCAAGUUUGUUUACUUCUUUGGUCGCUUUGCACUUUUUCUUGUUUUUAUUGAUUAAAAAUUUUAGAAAUGAAUUAUCUAAAAUAUAUUUUUUCUAUUGAAAUUCUAUGUAUACAAACAAUUGCAUAUAUAAUCAUUAUUCUUGAUAUUCUUGGUGCUAAUAUAUUUUGCAAUUAUUGAUAGAUAUAUUAGUGAAAAAAGAACAUAUAAACGACAACUUAGAAUGGAUAUUGAUCAAGUUAAGGAGCAAUUCAAGAACGUUGAAGGAGAGAGAAGACCAUGCUGCUUUGGAUUCAAAUAAGAUGUUGUCUUAAAAUAAUUGUAUAUUGUGACAAUUCUCAAAAUUGUAACAGUUGUAUAUAACUUGACAACUAUUUGGGAUUUGUAGCUACAUUAUGUAACAUUCCGAUAAACAAGGCAAGUAAAAAAUUCUUUAAUUUGUAAAAAUGAAAUUGUUGAAAAUUAUUUUGGAUUUUAAUAGUUUUUAUUUUAGUUACAU